CGGGUGAGUAACGCGUGAGGAACCUGCCUCAAAGAGGGGGACAACAGUUGGAAACGACUGCUAAUACCGCAUAAGCCCACGGCUCGGCAUCGAGCAGAGGGAAAAGGAGCAAUCUGCUUUGAGAUGGCCUCGCGUCCGAUUAGCUAGUUGGUGAGGUAACGGCCCACCAAGGCGACGAUCGGUAGCCGGACUGAGAGGUUGAACGGCCACAUUGGGACUGAGACACGGCCCAG
rnacentral:rRNA from 1 species